UAAAAUAUUGCCUAGGGCGGCAAAUUGGUCAGGGCCGGCCCUGCCCUGCCCCGCCCAUUUCUUUAGCUUCCGGUUUAGUAGACAACGAAAAAAGUAAACAAUUAAUUAUAUUUAGCCUUUAGGAACAGUGCUUUGUAAUAACUCUCAGUACCAGAUUAAUUACCUAACCUAAACACAUUUACUACCCAAUAGCAUAGUUCCAUCCCCUGAAGACAAGGAAUGUGUCAUAGUAGAAAUGUGCAGCCCAAUGAAAGAAGGAAGCAUAAAGCUUGUACAUUUCUAUAACCCGUGUAAAAAUCUUCACAUUGAAACUUUACAGACAAUAGCAGGGACGAGUCAUAGAAGGGAAGUAUGGUGUGGUGAUUUUAAUGCUCACAACAGCCUAUGCGGAAGCAGUCAAACAGACAGUAAUGGUGAUGUUAGAGGAAAGAUCAUUGUUUUGCCUUAAUGAUGGACAAAAAACAAGAAUAGACGUGAAUAGGGGGACACAAUCAUGUUUGGACCUCACACUUGUGACGGAUAGUUUAGUUAAAUCGUGUGAAUGGAAUGUAAACGUGACUAUACCAUAGGAAGUGAUCAUUACCCAGUAUUCUCUAUCAUCAACACAAAUAGGAAGUGAGUAUAUUUUCCAGGUGGUGCUUUGGUAAAGCAGACUGGGAGAAAUGUAGAAUUCGCUGUAAGGAGUCAGCACAAUUGUUAGCAUUAGAAGGAAGUAUAGAGGAGUGCUCAAAUCAAAUCACAAUGCACAUUAAAGAAGCAGCAAAUAUAAUUAUACCAAAAAGAACAACAGAGGGUAUAGGAAGAAAGUGGUGCCGUGGUGGAAUGAGGAAUGUAGCAGAGCUAUUAAAGAACAAAACAAGGUAUUCAGUAACUACAGACAUAGCAUUAACAUCACACUUGUGUAAAUGGAUGGAGAAGAUGACAUAGACAUGUCUUAGAACAAAGAGGGUUGCUGAGUAAUUUCCAGACUGGUUUUCGCAAAGGAAGAUCCACAAUGCUUUGGUUAGAGUGAUCAAUGAGGUGGGAAUACAGUGUGAAGACACUGAAAAUGAAAGAGGUUAUGGCAAUAGUAUAUUUUGACAUUGAUAAGGCUUAUGACUCUAUGUGGAGGGAUGGGUUACUCAUCAAAUUAAGUGACAGGUGACAGUAACAGUGACAGUAACAGCAUCUUGGCUCAGACAGGAAAUUCAGAGUUCAAGUAGGGGCAGAGGUUUCGAAAGACUUCAAUAUAGAAAAUGGUAUUCCCCAAGGGAGUUCAAUCAGCCUGAUAUUAUUUAACAUUAUGAUAAAUGACAUAUUGACUAAGUUGGACGGAUGCAUCAAAUCUGCGUUGUAUGCAGAUGACGGGGACAUAUGGAUAAGGGGAAGAAAUGUUCCAGAAGUGGUCAUACAACUGGGGUUUCAAACUGUCAGCAAGCACAUCUUGCUUCAUGACAUUUACAAAUAAACGCAAGAUGGAGACUGAGAAGCUUACAUCAUAUGGAAAGCCGAUGAAUGAGGUCAAUGCAUUUAAAUAUCUGGGGCUAUGGUUAGAUAGUAAAUGUACAUGGAAAAACCAUAUUAAACAUUUGGAAACAAAAUCCCAAAAAGUUUUGAACCUAUUAAGAGCAGUGGCUGGAUGAGACUGGGGGCAGACAAACAGGCACUAAUUGACAUCUAUAGGGCAAUUAUGAGGACAACUCUGGAUUACGGGUGUAUAAUAUAUAUGCAGCAGCAGCAAAAACGUCAUUACUAAAAAUGGAUAGAUUACAAUAUAAAGCAUUACGGUUGUGUAUAGGUGCAAUCAACAAUUAAUCAAUCAUUAUCACAAUUACCUCAAAAUAUAGCCAACACAGAUAGAUAGAUUCAACUUAUUGUCAUUACACAGUACAGGUACCGUGUAACGAAACGGUUUCUCUGCAUUUGACCCAUCCUAGUGUUAGGAGCAGUGGGCUGCCAUUAUGUACGGCACCCGGGGAGCAGUGUAGGGAACGGUGCUUUGCUCAGGGACAACUCGCUAGCACUUGGUCUUUCCGGGACUUGAACUGGUGACCUUCCAGUUGCCAAGCCCCUAUGGACUUCGCCACCACCGCCCGAUGGUUCUAAGAACAAGGAAGAGUGUGUUGGAGUUGGUAUAUAUAUAUCCCAGACUUUAAAAUAUCAAUUUCAAAAAGAGCGUCAGAUCAAUUAUCAGUGUGCAACAGAAAUGCUGGCUGUAAUAAUAGGAUUACAGUGGGUUGAAGAGGUCAGACCAGAUAGGGUGGUGAUAUGCACAGAUUCAUUAUCCAUUUUAAAAAGUAUACAGUCAACAACAACUGUCAGAGAAGAAUUACUCAUAUAACUUAAUCUAGGAAAUCAUGAUAGCUAGACUCAGACUGGAUCACACAGCAUUGAAUGUUACUCUAUGUCGUAGGAACUGUGGAGUUAAAAAAAAUGUGGAACAUAUCAUAUUACACUGCAACAUGUACAAAACAGAGAGGGAAAAACUAAGAGACAGGGAGAGUGGAGCCUGAUGGGGAUACUGGGAACAGAAGGUGAGGGGGUAAGAGCUACCAGGAAGGCCAUUCUUAAGUAUUUGAGUGAAAAAGGAUUGAUUGGAAGAAUUGAAAACAACGUAAACACAGUGGUAUAAUUCCACAAGUGCUGACAGGAUGAUAUGUUGAUACACGCUCUUGUACAGUAGGGGGCGGUAUGCACCUUAAAGUUGUUUGCAAUCCGCCAAAAAACCGAGAGAAGAAGAAGAAGAACGAUUAUACAUCCAUGGAAGGACCAGACACAUGGCAGCAACGUUCCCAUCUGCUUCAUUCAUUUCUCCUGUUCAACCGAUAAUAAACCUGGUUGACAAGAAGGAAGUCGUUUUCAUUCGACACAACGCAGAGAUACAUGUGGCGUCAAUCCAGACCGGUUACACAAAGAAUGAUAAAUAGAGAAAACAGAUAUAAUUUGCUUAUUAUCUGAUUACCAGCUCUGCACAGCGGACUUGUAACACUAGCAGCAGUGGAGAUGGAGCAUCAGAACCUGGAGGCUUCUACUCUCCUGAAGAAGAAGAAUACAGCAACAAGGAUCCAUUUGAAGAUAGGUAAAUGUAAAUAUUACAGUAAUAGUGUACUUGCAUUGUGUGGGUGUAAGGGUGUAACUUUGGUUUGCGAAGUGGGGGGGACACAAAACAGGGGGCAAUGAAACAUUUUCUCAAUUUAAUUCCAUUUCCUGCCUUUCUACAAAUAUAUUAGGGGCUAUAGUGUUAAUAAAUCCAAGAAAAAUGUGUAGUGUAUAUAAUGAGUGUGCACACUUAUCUAGUAUCCUAUCCAUGUGAACCUGUUUUAUUUGUGAUGACCUCACAUCCUCUAGGGGGGUACUAGUAUAUAUUUCAAUCAUCAAAAAUCCUGCUUGCUCACAAGCAAUAACACAUAUUUGAUCAACUCCUCUCUCCUAUCUUUAUCUUACCUAGUCUGCAUUCUUUCUUUUUAUUUAUGCAUAUUUUACUAAUCACUCCCCUUUCAAACUGUGUUUUUUAUGUUGUACUGACCUAUUGCACACAGUGGAAUGAUUUAUUAACUCAUUUUAUAUACAACUAAUAUUACAUAGAUGGAAAUGAUGACCAAACCUCCCUGAGCUGACGUUAUCUCUCUCAGUCCCACAGGAGAGAGCUCUCCCUCUCCUUAUUGUUGAAACGGCUUCUAAUCUCCGUUAGCUCCGAGCUAGCACCAAAUACUAACAACGUCUC